UUAAAGAAAACCCUUCGAAUUACUAUUUUUGCAUUUAUGAAUAUUUACAUUGUUCAUUUUAUACUAAGCUUUGAUUGUUAUAAAUCAGACUUUUUGGUUAAUAUUUAUGAAAUUACUAAUAAUAUAAUUUUUACAAAUUGUCAGUAAACCUCUCAUUGAAAUCGUUUAACUUGUCACCAAAAAUUGUUAUAUUUCCUGAUUGUUAACUAUGCAAACAUUUGACUACUGCAAUGUCAGAUGAAAAAAUCUUAUAACUAUAAUUUUUGGCCUUUUUAGAUUUAUUAAAUAUUUUAUUUUUCUGAUGUAUGAAUGACUUUAAUAUAACAAAAAGUUCUGCAGCAAUCACCAACAGGAAACCGUAUCAUAUCAUUUUGGUUGAAUGUCAUAUAUUUCUCGGCCACGAUGAACAUCUUGCUAUUUUCACCAUUAUUUUAUUCAUUCAAUUGAUCACACAGAAUAUUUUUUAAACUUAGUCAAUUAGAUAUUGUGUUCAAAUUUUUACCUUUGCAAAAGAAAAUUAUUUUCACCUUAUUAGUUGAAAUACAUGUAUAUUUAUAAUCCUGUAUAAG
rnacentral:lncRNA from 1 species